rnacentral:rRNA from 1 species
CGUAGGGUGCGAGCGUUAAUCGGAAUUACUGGGCGUAAAGCGUGCGCAGGCGGUUUUGUAAGCCAGAUGUGAAAUCCCCGGGCUUAACCUGGGAAUGGCAUUUGGGACUGCAAGGCUGGAGUGCGGCAGAGGAGACUGGGAAUUCCUGGUGUAGCAGUGAAAUGCGUAGAUAUCAGGAGGAACACCGAUGGCGAAGGCAGGUCUCUGGGCUGACACUGACGCUCAUGCACGAAAGCGUGGGGAGCAAACAGGAUUAGAUACCCUGGUAGUCCACGCCCUAAACGAUGUCGACUGGUUGUUGGGGGUUUGACACUCUCAGUAACGAAGCUAACGCGUGAAGUCGACCGCCUGGGGAGUACGGCCGCAAGGUUA